CAAUAGCGUAUAUUAAAGUUGUUGCAGUUAAAAAGCUCGUAGUUGGAUUUGUGGCGUACGGUGGGUUCCGGGCACUUGUUGUCUGAGUAACUUGCUUUUGCCAUCCUUGGGUGGAACCUGUGUGGCAUUAGGUUGUCGUGCAGGGGAUGCCCAUCAUUUACUGUGAAAAAAUUAGAGUGUUCAAAGCAGGCUUAUGCCGUUGAAUAUAUUAGCAUGGAAUAAUGAGAUAGGACUUUUUUGCUAUUUUGUUGGUUUGCGCAAAGAGGUAAUGAUUAAUAGGGACAGUUGGGGGUAUUCGUAUUCCAUUGUCAGAGGUGAAAUUCUUGGAUUUUUGGAAGACGAACUACUGCGAAAGCAUUUACCAAGGAUGUUUUCAUUAA
rnacentral:rRNA from 1 species